GCCAGGUUACAAAGGAGAGGCCUGAUGAAGGAGCUGCAUCUGAUGCUGUGGAGAGAGAGAGAGGAUCCCUGGUUGGCUGAUCUCCUAUGCACAGCUUUAAACUAGGUUCACUGUGGGACGGGGAUGCAGACAACAGCAAGAACCUAGGAUCAACAAACCAUGAACCAUGCACUUGAAUAUCCCAUUAUUUCAACACUGAUAACUCCUGUGGUUGUUCUUCAACAUCCUAGAAUGUCACUACUUGAAUUGACAAUUACUUGCACAGCCUCAACCCUUCUAGCACGCAAUAUAUCUUUAAGGCCUGAUACAGGACUCACUUCUGAUCUAAUUAGAACUGAACAACUCCACUGACACCAUCCAAGAUGCAGUUUGCUCAUAUUAUUUAUAGAAGUCAUCUUCUCCACUACUUAACAGAGUAUUUAGCAAUCUAGAUAAAUCUCAUCUUCCUAUGUUUUAAACUUUUUGAUAUGAACUUUACACUCCUUAUCCAAUGACAUCAUUUCACAUUUUCCCCCCCAAACUACUGAAUGGAUAUUAAUUAAUCAAACACACAUAUACUGAGCAACAGAACUUUGGCUCCAAAAAUUUCACAGUCAUAAGCGCAAGACUACCAGUGGAGCUCAAGUAGAGUUUUCACUAGCUAUCAAAUGUAACAAGUGUCCAUUCUACACACUGUAGGCAAAGAUAGAAGGACUUUUUAUUGAUGAAUAAACAGUGGAACAGAUCUGGUAUGCCCAGCACUGAGAAAGUAUAUACUGAAGAACAUAUUGUAGCCUGAAUAAAGUUGUAUUCAACUGUUUAUGAUGUUAUAAACUACAGUUCUUCUAUAAACCCUGUUUUCAGAAGGUAGCACACAGAUUUGUGCUUCACAUUCCAAUGGGGAAGAAAUUCCAAAACUGUGAUCCAUGAAAAUGCUGCCUGGUCCUGUGGUUCUGGCUCCUUUCUUGUUCCAUGCUUUUAAAUUGAUUUAAAAGCAGCUAAAGUAGAUUAAAUAUUUUCCUAAUAUUAUUUUGCCGUAUAAGUAGCUAUUUCAGUUGCCACAAGGAUGUUACAUGUUUAUGAAUGAGAAAGGAAGCAUCCACCCAGCAAUCUUUCUAUUAAGACUUGGUUCACAUUAUAAAGUUGUAUGUUUGAGAAUCCCUCUAGUAAAUUUAAAACUCCUGUGUUGGAAAUCAUACAAAGAAGUGAAAACAACACUGAGUCAGAAAAAUCUACAUUUAAUCAUAAAGUAUUAUUCCUACCCUCAAAUCUAGAAAAAUUGAAUAAUAAUCCCAAACUAUUAAUAAUGGAACUAUAAUUUUAUAUGACGCAGUGAAAACAUGUUUCAUCCAACAUUCUCAAAAUGAUUUACAAAUACUAAACUACAAAGAAAUCCUGUAUGGCAUGAAGUGAAAGAUAUAUGAUUUAAAAAAAAAUACAAAGAUAAGAAAAAGAAAACUAAUCUAUGAGGAACCCCACUUGAAAACACUAGUAAUCAGAUUAAUUUUUCUUCUGAAUAUAGAGAAUUCCUUUUUUGGCAAAACCACGUGUUUCCCAGAAUGUCAUUAUCAUUCAUAGUCUACCAGCCUUUUCCAGCCUGGUAGUUAUUAAGGAAACAUUGCCACCUAGUGGUAAAAUAUAGUUUUGGAAGGCUCUCCAAAUCCUAUACUUAACUUUAACUAUUGGUGAACUGAAACACUGGAGAUUAACAAUGUGAAUAAUACUAUUCAGAUUAAUUUGGGGUAGAAACAUCAGGCAGCAUACGUUUCUUUAUUGUAUUGCAUAGCUGUAUGAAGGGAUUAUUGUGAGCUAGAUGAUGGCAGAAAAUAAAUAAUUUAGAGAGUUGAUCCAAGUACACUUACCAAAUGUAUGAACCCAGCUGCUGUCAGCCACGUACUAAUAAA